rnacentral:rRNA from 1 species
GAGUUUGAUCAUGGCUCAGAACGAACGCUGGCGGCAUGCCUAACACAUGCAAGUCGAACGAGACCGCCGUCUUCGGAUGGCGUGUCUAGUGGGCGCACGGGUGCGUAACGCGUGGGAAUCUGCCCUUGGGUCUGGGAAUAACAGUUAGAGAUGACUGCUAAUACCGGAUGAUGACUUCGGUCCAAAGAUUUAUCGCCCAGGGAUGAGCCCGCGUAGGAUUAGCUUGUUGGUGAGGUAAAAGCUCACCAAGGCGACGAUCCUUAGCUGGUCUGAGAGGAUGAUCAGCCACACUGGGACUGAGACACGGCCCAGACUCCUACGGGAGGCAGCAGUGGGGAAUAUUGGACGAAUGGGCGAAAGCCUGAUCCAGCAAUGCCGCGUGAGUGAUGAAGGCCUUAGGGUUGUAAAGCUCUUUUACCCGGGAUGAUAAUGACAGUACCGGAGAAUAAGCCCGGCUAACUCCGUGCCAGCCG